GUAUAUUGCGGGAAUGGACAACUUUAGCUAUUAUGCAUUUGCACAGUCUUGGCCAGUGUCCCACAUUUUGUAAGUGGCAUUGCACCACAAUACAGCAUGCUGCAUAUUUCCCUUAACAAGUCCGAAAAAAAAAUUGACAGUCGGUUCAGCAUACGCUAAAGAGGACAAAGGUGAAAGCCUGCGUGCUUAUGAGACAUGCAUUAUAUUAUUCGACAUUCUCAUUCUUUUGUGUUGUAACUUACUAAUGUUUUCUAACACCAAAGGUCGUGGGUUCGACUGCAUUAAUUGCCUUUACCUAAAUUACUGUGGCUUAAUUACCUUGCCCUAUGUAACGCCAAAGGUCAUGAGUUCGAGUGACCAAAUAAACUAUUUCUUAAUUAGCUGUGCCUUAGUUAGGUUGGACUCACUUAAAACCAAAAGUCCUGGGUUCAACUACCACCAACAGUCGUGGUUUUAGCUAUCAAUGGUGGCACCAUAAAGUUUUGUGCAAUUGAAUUUUCCGGAAGGUCAAAUUUUCGACACAUUAGCCAUCUUAGGCUAUCGGAUUUAAAAUCCGCAGACACCUGAUCAGUUCUUAUAAGUAGUGAAAUAAUCACUUCUUAAUAAGUAGUAGGCAACUCUAUGACGCGAUUGUUGCAUUAACCAUUCCUAACUACUACCCUUGUACACCAAUUUUAUGCUAUACUUUCUUGGGGCAACUGUAGCGGCCUACUUUCUCAGAGCGCUGACUGUACGGUAAGACCAGGUGUAUGGUAAACUUCUUGUGGCAACUGCAGUGACCUGCUUUCAAUCCACACAAACUAGGAUAUAGUCACUUGUUGCGGCAACUGAAGUGGCCUGCUUUCUUUGUGCACUGACUGCGUGGUAUGGCAAAGUUUAUGGUACACUUGUUGUGGCAACUGUAGUGACCUACUUUCUGCUUACGCUAACUGUAUGACAUGGUUAGUAGUCGUGGCAACUGUAGUAGCCUGCUU